GAUGAAGAACGUAGCGAAAUGCGAUAAGUAAUGUGAAUUGCAGAAUUCAGUGAAUCAUCGAAUCUUUGAACGCACAUUGCGCCCGCCAGUAUUCUGGCGGGCAUGCCUGUCUGAGCGUCAUUUCAACCCUCAAGCAACUUCUGCUUGGUGUUGGGGAUCGGCCGUUAAACGCCGCCCCCGAAAUCUAUUGGCGAUCUCGCUGUAGCUUCCUAUGCGUAGUAGUAACAUCUCGCAUCUGGAGAGCGGCGCGGUCAUGCCGUAAAACACCCAACUUCUCAGGUUGGCCUCAGAUCAGGUAGGAAUACCCGCUGAACUUAAGCAUAUCAAUAAGCGGAGGA
rnacentral:misc_RNA from 1 species